rnacentral:rRNA from 1 species
UGGGGAAUCUUGGACAAUGGGGGAAACCCUGAUCCAGCCAUGCCGCGUGAUCGAUGAAGGCCUUAGGGUUGUAAAGAUCUUUCAGCUGGGAAGAUAAUGACUGUACCAGCAGAAGAAGCCCCGGCUAACUCCGUGCCAGCAGCCGCGGUAAUACGGAGGGGGCUAGCGUUGUUCGGAAUUACUGGGCGUAAAGCGCACGUAGGCGGAUCAGUCAGUCAGGGGUGAAAUCCCGGGGCUCAACCCCGGAACUGCCUUUGAUACUGCUGGUCUUGAGGUCGUGAGAGGUGAGUGGAAUUCCGGGUGUAGAGGUGAAAUUCGUAGAUAUUCGGAGGAACACCAGUGGCGAAGGCGGCUCACUGGCUCGAUACUGACGCUGAGGUGCGAAAGCGUGGGGAGCAAACAGG